UUGUGAGGAACCUCUCUCUAAUUUUUUGGAGAGAAAUUUUCUCUCCCGCAUACCUUUUCUCCCCUGCGCCUAGGGCAUUUUUCGUUGUCGUUCAAGCGGUUUUCCCUACCCUACAAGCAGGGGGAGCUUUCUCUUUUCACCUAGUCGUGAGUUUGACUCUCCCCCACCCACUGGAUGGGUGUAAAUAUUUUCUUUUUGUGUUCUUUUGGCACAUCAAGCUUCAGAGUGUGAGAGUCUUCUAUGGAUCUGCCUCGUUGUGUGUUUUUGCUAGUUUUUCUGUGCUUUGUGUUUACUGCAUAUAGGUGUUAAUCUUCCUUUGGGCUGAGAUUACAAGUGGUGCUUCUGGUAAAAUCCUUGUGACCUGCUUUGUUUCUUGCAGCCAACAGUUUCUGUGCUUUGUGGGGGUCUACAUUUUAGCUGAUGGUAUCUUUUAUAGCCAGAUUAAUUCCAUUUAUGGCUGACUCUUAGCGUUCGGUCUGGCUUGCGAUGGCUUCAAUUUCCAUUGUCUGCGCUUCCCUUUGGCUUCUUGGGUUGCCUAGUUUGAUGGGUUGAAUGAGGAUCAUUUAGCCCUUGGUUUUUUCUUCCAGGCUUUGGCGAGGUGGUCUUGGUUGCCUUAUCUUAGUAUGGAAGAUGGUGUACGGCAUUUUUCUGGAUGCAGCCAGGUCGUAGCUUUUUCGAGUCUGCUAUUCAAGUCUCAAGACUUAGGCUUCAGUGUUUUUCUGGGCUUAGUUCUUUUAUUUGUAAUUAGGCUUCCUGUUUUUAUUUGGCCAAGGGCCUAGUCAUGUAUUGAUCUCAGCUUUUUUUUAAGUUAAUGAUAUCUAUAUCUUUUAAUAAAAAAAUAAUUAUUU